AACGGUCUAUACCUGCGGUACCUGCGGAAGGAUCAUUAAAGAGUUUUUAACGAUUUAUUUUAUAAAUCGAAAAACUUCCUAUCACUUGUUUAAUUAAAACAAAAUUUUCGUUGCUUCGGCAUGUUUUAAUCGAUAUGUCGAUAGCUUAUUUUAACUCGAUUUUAUUUUUGAUGUCUAAAGAUUUUUGAAAAUUGUUAAAACAAUUGAAUUAAAACUUUUAACAACGGAUCUCUAGAUCGG
rnacentral:misc_RNA from 1 species